rnacentral:rRNA from 1 species
GAUGAACGCUGGCGGCGUGCCUAACACAUGCAAGUCGAGCGAAGCGGGGACGGGCGAGUAUGACGUUGAUAACCUCCUAUAAGACUGGGAUAAGUUCGGGAACCCGCGGCUAAACCGUAUAGUUAAAGUUGGAUCCGGGCUGCAUUUGGUAGGUGGUAGGGUAACGGCGUACCAAGGCAACGAUGCAUAGCCGACCGGAGAGGGAGAUCAGCCACACUGGAACGGAGACACGGUCCAGACUCAUACGGGAGGCAGCAGUAGGGAAUCUUCCGCAAUGGGCGAAAGCCUGACGUAGCAACGCCGCGUGAGUGAAGAAGGUCUUCGGAUCGUAAAACUCUGUUAGUAGGGAAGCGGUACCUAAUCAAAAAGCCACGGCUAACUACGUGCCAGCAGCCGCGGUAAUAC